rnacentral:rRNA from 1 species
GCUACGGGGGGCAGCAGUGAGGAAUAUUGGUCAAUGGACGGAAGUCUGAACCAGCCAUGCCGCGUGCAGGAAGACGGCUCUAUGAGUUGUAAACUGCUUUUGUACAAGGGUAAACCUGAAUACGUGUAUUCAGCUGAAAGUACGGUACGAAUAAGGAUCGGCUAACUCCGUGCCAGCAGCCGCGGUAAUACGGAGGAUCCAAGCGUUAUCCGGAUUUAUUGGGGUUAAAGGGUGCGUAGGCGGUUUGAUAAGUUAGAGGGGAAAUGUCCGAGCUUAACCCGGGAACUGCCUCUAAUACUGUUGCUCUAGAGUGUAGAUGCGGUAGGCGGCUUG